UCUUUAUAAGGAGCUUGGCCGGCCACACCUCCUCUCCUUUGCCUCAUUUCUUUUCACUCCCUACUAUUUCCUCCACUCCCUCACACUCUCCUCCUCCACUUCCCCACGAAAAUGGUGCUCCCCUUGCUCCCAUGGCCGGCCAUGGCCAUGGCAAGCCACCAAGAUGAAGCUCUCCCUCUCCCUCAAGCUCCUCCUCACCAUGAGAGCCUCCCUCUCCUUCUUCUCCCCAACCCUAGAUGGUUUUCUCUCCUCUUCUUCUUCCUCCCUUGCUAAGAUUGGAUCUUGAUGCAGGUGCAUGUUGGUCCAAGCAUGGAGAAGCUUGAGCUAUCCUCAGAUCUGAAGUUCUUGAGCAAAAUCCAAAUCGAGUGAUUCAAAGUUCCGCAGAUAGGCAUUGAAAAGAUCUACAACUUGGCGUUGGUAUCAUCCUCAAAUUCGUUACGGAUUUUGCAAGAUCAAGAUCUGGUCAGAUCUGACUUUGUCGAAUUAAACCUGGAGCUUGGAAACGAAUUUUUGAAUGAAACCAACUGGGGGAUAUUUGGUUGAUACCCUGGUGAUAAACGAGAGAGGCAAUUGCUAAGUUAUGAUACUCUCAUACCUUUACUAGAUGCGAACGAUUCCGGAGAAGAAGAAGAAGAAGUGGUUCGGACAAGGAUUUUAUUUAUAUUGACGGGAUUCUUAUAUUGAUGAAGUUGAAGAAGUCCAGGGACAAAUAAGCCAAGGCAAGCCAUCUUUUGAUCUCUGAUAUGAUGUCUCUUUGGAUGUCAUCUUGUGCUAUCAAUAGCAUCUUGGUUCUAUGUGUGAUGAUCUCCAUAUUGUUGUCAUCUAUGCUUGGAUGCAAGCAUGGUACCUCUAGUAGUUUUAUCUUGUCAAGGUCUUGGUAAUUGGUUGGGUGUAUGGUAUCAUGGCCAUUGCUAUCCAACUUGCUUUCUAUAUUUAGCUUGAAUAUGUUCCACCUCGGGACAAGAUUCAUACUACACCCCCUUCUAGUGUAGAUGUAUCAAUACCAUGUUUUUGGUGUAUUCUCAAAUUGUGAUGAGUAUGCCUGUUUUCCCUUAAUGGUGUUGGUGUUGGUCAAUUCUCAU